AUUGAACGCUGGCGGCGUGCCUAAUACAUGCAAGUCGAGCGAAGCGGGGACGGGUGAGUAACACGUGGAUAACCUCCUAUAAGACUGGGAUAACUUCGGGAAACCGGAGCUAAACCGGAUACUUAUCGAUGGAUCCGCGCUGCAUUAGCUAGUUGGUAAGGUAACGGCUUACCAAGGCAACGAUGCAUAGCCGACCUGAGAGGGUGAUCGGCCAUACUGGAACUGAGCUACGGUCCAGACUCCUGCGGGAGGCAGCAGUAGGGAAUCUUCCGCAAUGGGCGCAAGCCUGACGCAGAAACGCCGCGUGAGGGAUGAAGGUGUUAGGAUCGUAAAACUCUGUUAUUAGGGAAGCGGUACUUAAUCAGAAAGCCACGGCUAACUACGUGCCAGCCGCCGCGGUAAUAC
rnacentral:rRNA from 1 species